GGGUCGUAGCUCAGUGGUAGAUCAUCUGCUUUGCAUGUAGAUGGUCCCAGAUUCAAUCCACAGCAUGUCCA